GGGCUAAUGGUGUAGUUGGUUAUCACGCUCGCUUAGCAUGCGAGAGGGGUCCGGUUCAAUUCCGGAUUAGUCCA
rnacentral:tRNA from 1 species